AGAGAAAACAGAAGCUUGGAGAGAAAGAACAUCACGGUUCUCUGAAGUCAGACACACCUGUAUCUGAACCCCAUGUGUACUGUCACCAAGCUGUGAAUAACUGGAAGCCUGAUUCCAAGUCCUGGUAACUGCAUUUCCUCUGAUUUAAACAGAGAUUUGAAGAGUAAAUUUCAUGGACCAAGAGGAAGUCCAGGAAGGCCUGGUUGUUUCACGGCUGUCCAGGUUGUGGAACAUCUGGGGGUAGGAGUGUGUGGCCCCUGUUGAAGCAGUCUGUGAGGUUGAGCCAGUGCACCUAUGGCCUCCUUUCAGGUACCCAGUUCUCCGUGGCUGCUGGACAGCUACAAUUGUCGGUGACUCAACUUCCCCAGCUAAAUCAACGCUACCUCUCAAACAGUGCCACCAACCAGGGGACAGGUACUCAAAUAUCUGAACCUAUGGGGAAUGUCU